GUCUAUGGCCAUGCCACCCUGAACAAGCCCGAUCCUGUCUGAUCUCAGAAGCUAAGCAGGGUCGGGCCUAGUUAGUACUUGGAUGGGAGACCACCUAGGAAGACCAGGUGCUGUAAGUG
rnacentral:rRNA from 1 species